rnacentral:rRNA from 1 species
GGAGGGGGCCAGCGUUGUUCGGAAUCAUUGGGCGUAAAGGGCGCGUAGGCGGCCGACCAAGUCGGAGGUGAAAUCCCUCGGCUCAACUGAGGAACUGCCUCCGAUACUGUUCGGCUUGAGUCCCGGAGAGGGUAGUGGAAUUCCGAGUGUAGCGGUGAAAUGCGUAGAGACUCGGAAGAACACCAGUGGCGAAGGCGGCUACCUGGACGGGUACUGACGCUGAAGCGCGAAAGCUAGGGGAGCAAACAGGAUUAGAUACCCUGGUAGUCCUAGCUGUAAACGAUGGGCACUUGGUGUUGCGGGUAUCGACCCCUGCAGUGCCGAAGCUAACGCAUUAAGUGCCCCGCCUGGGGAGUACGGUCGCAAGGCUG